rnacentral:lncRNA from 1 species
GUCGCCAUAUUGGCCCUCCUCAGGGGACGUUGUUACAGUCAUUAGGUGGGACGCUUUAGCGGAGUCCUGCAGCUCAACAGGUGUCAGAGCCAAGGCAUUCGGCGCGCAGUUCCGCAUCAACACUAGGACUUGUUUGCGUCUUCAUUUAACUGCCCCUAUAAAGUACCUCUCAAAUCUUACCCCCCUCCCGGGUGGUCGGACAGGCGGGCAGAUGCCUCAAUGUCGCUGCAAGCCCUGGGAAUGCAGGCGGGACGAGAUCUGGUGACAGCACUCACCGAAUAAGUUAAUACUGAGCUGACCAAUAUGCAGAGUCUCCGUGAGACUCCAGAAAACGCGAUUUUAUUAAGUUCCCCCAGACAAAGGCGCUAACCACUUAAACGACUGGUUAACUUUUCAAGCCUUGAGGCUAAAGUGCGGAUAAGUCACUUCCAUUUUUUCCCCCUUAAUAGUAAAUACCGCCUAUGCAUAAAGCAAGAUAGCUGAGCUCCAGCUUUUUGCAAUCACGAAGGUUAAGAAACUUUACUGCAGGCACCUGGAUUUCUGGCCUCCUCUUUAUCCGUGUUUUGGUGGAGCCGGCCUUAAUAGCUUGUCAAUGACACGAUGAGGUCAUGUCCUUCAGUAUUUGUAUCUUAUAUGUUGUCACCUGCUUAUAUGUUCUUAUGUUUUAAAAUGUGAAUUCUCCUAAACUAUUUUAAGCCCUUUGAAGGUAAGAACUGAGGCCUCUGCUGCUUUAAACAGGUAAAAAGGUGAAGUGAUUGCUGACUGCCUACCGUGUUAGGUGCCUAAGUCAGGGAGGCAGUUAGUAUUCCAUGUCAUCCUUAAAAGGAAGAUUUUAUUAAGUAUCAGCUAUAUUAUGUAUUUUAUAAGUGAAGACAUUUAGGCUGAGAAGUGACUUACCCAAGGUCACAAAGCAAAUGAGUUGUAGUGUUAGAUUCCAACCCAGAAUAGUUCCACCAAAAGUUUUCUAUAAAUUCUUGAGGGAAUUAAACUGCCGCCGGGCGCAAUGGCUCAGACCUGUAAUCCCAGCACUAUGGGAGGCCGAGGCGGGCGGAUCGCUUGAGCCCAGGAGUUAAAGACCAGCCUGGGCAACAUGGUGAAACCCCGUCUCCACAAAAAAUAACAAAAAUUAGCCAGACGUGGUGAUGUGCGCCAGUAGUCCCAGCUACUCGGGAGGCUGGGGUGGAAGAAUCGCUUGAACCCAGGAGGUUGAGGCUGCAGUGAGCUCAAAUCCUGCCACUGCACUCCAGCCAGGACAACAAAGCAAGACCUUGCUCCAAAAUAAGUAAAUAUAUAGACUGGGCGCGGUGGCUCAUGCCUGUAAUCCCAGCAUUUUGGGAGGCCGAGGCAGGCG